rfam:Brassica oleracea var. oleracea cultivar TO1000 chromosome C8, whole genome shotgun sequence
AGAAUAUAAGAACUCGUCUAUUAACUUUUAACUAAAAAAACUAAGAACGGGUUCUUAAAUAAGAGUUUUAAAAACUGGUUUUUAACUUUUUUUAGUUAAAAAUUAAGAGACGGAUUCUUAGAUUCC